GGAGUGGUAGUUCAGUUGGUUAGAAUACCGGCCUGUCACGCCGGGGGUCGAGGGUUCGAGUCCCGUCCACUCCG
rnacentral:tRNA from 1 species